GGGCAAGCAUAGAAAAUCCAUUGGAGUGGCUCUUUUCUAGUAGUUUGGCAUCAAAUUAUCAGGACCUUCAUUUGCUGCUCUUUUCAUACACUAAAGCAAUAUACAGAAAGCCUAGAUAGCCAAAAGGAAAAAUGCGUAGAAGAAGAUUACGAGAUUUAAGUAUUGUCCAGAAUACUCCAAAUUCGGAAGAAGCAAAUAGUGAACAGCAAGCAAGGAAAACUGAAAUUCGG